AUUGAACGCUGGCGGCAGGCCUAACACAUGCAAGUCGAACGGCAGCACAGAAGAGCUUGCUCUUUGGGUGGCGAGUGGCGGACGGGUGAGUAAUGUCUGGGAAACUGCCCGAUGGAGGGGGAUAACUACUGGAAACGGUAGCUAAUACCGCAUAACGUCGCAAGACAAAGUGGGGGACCUUCGGGCCUCACACCAUCGGAUGUGCCCAGAUGGGAUUAGCUAGUAGGUGGGGUAAUGGCUCACCUAGGCGACGAUCCCUAGCUGGUCUGAGAGGAUGACCAGCCACACUGGAACUGAGACACGGUCCAGACUCCUACGGGAGGCAGCAGUGGGGAAUAUUGCACAAUGGGCGCAAGCCUGAUGCAGCCAUGCCGCGUGUAUGAAGAAGGCCUUCGGGUUGUAAAGUACUUUCAGCAGGGAGGAAGGCGGUGAGGUUAGUAACCUCGCCGAUUGACGUUACCCGCAGAAGAAGCACCGGCUAACUCCGUGCCAGCCGCCGCAGUAA
rnacentral:rRNA from 1 species